rnacentral:lncRNA from 1 species
UGAGAUCAAGAUAUGCAAAAUACACACGGAUCUGAACAUUUCUGAUCCAUUGACAAAACCACUCCCGCACGCUAAGCAUGAUGCGCAUGUAAGAGCUAUGGGUAUUAGGUACCUUCUAGAUUGACUCUAGUGCAAGUGGGAGACUGUUGGAGGUAUGCCCUAGAGGCAAUCAUAGAGAUGAUGAUAUUCCACUUGUAUCCAUGAUUUGUAUGUUGUGUUCAUUGAAUAUCCAUUGAAGGCUACUUGAAUUGAUUUGCAAUUAUGUGAAUUGUAUGUGAAACUCUUUACUUGUGUGGUUAUUCUAAAGUUGUCCCUAGUCGGAGUUCAUGUGAGGACACACAUGAAUAUUAGACUAGCACAUGUAUUAGUUGAUGACUAUGUUUCACAAGUCAUGGACAUGGAGAUGUUAAACUAAUAAUGUGGACACAUGUGGAGACAUGUGCUAGGACUGACCCAACACGAGAAGUAGUUCUCUCUUUAAACAACAUAUACGCUUUGUCCUUAGACCUGAGAUUGUCGCAUGUGUUCUAUAUGUGGAUCGACCUACUUAGGGGCUAUCAAACGCUACGCCGUAACAGGGUAGUUAUAAAGGUAGUUUUCGGGUUUGUCAAGAAGCAUGCUAUGAGACAUGGUCAAUCAAGAUGGGAUUUGCCCCUCUCUGAUUGAGAGUGAUAUCUCUGGGCCCCUCGAGUGAUCGGAUCCGAAAAUGCAUGGCCAUGCUACGUACGGUUAAGAGUUAACCUACAAAGGGAUUCCGAAUCACAGGAUCGAGAAAGAGCGGUCGGCUUCAAGGUAGACCAAAUAUCAUGAGGCAAAGGGAAUAGCAUGUAUAUUAUGUUGUGAUGGUUCAUCUGAUAUGAUCUUCGUGUGCGUAUAGGAGUUGGCACGUCUUACUAGAGGCCGCUACCGACUAUUGGGCCGAGUAGGAGUACUCGGGCCAUGUCUAUACGUAUCCAAACCCAUAGGGUCACACACUUAAAGGGCUGGAAGCCCAAUUCGGAUCAGAUCCGAGUUGGAUUAGGUUUAGAAGUACUAAUGGGCCUCGGAUCCAGAGGCCCGUCAGGAACAUCUAUAAAUAGAGGGGUGGGGGCGCCCUAGGGUUGACACCCUUUUGCGAAACACACCUGCCGCGCCUCCCACGCCCUCGCCUAUUGCAACUCGCGGAUCUAGCAGUCCGGCUUGCGACGCUUCCUCCCUGCACGUGUGGAUACCUUGGAGGUGUUGCGCCUGCAGCACUUGGACGAGCCGCCGACGAGCCACGACGAGCCGCCGACGAGCCGCGACGAGCCAACGACAAGCCGCGGCACCGGAGGCGAUCUGCUGCACGUGGACGAGCUGCUGAGGAGCUGCUGGACGUGAUCGACUACGUACGAUUACGUUGAUCGACUACGUACGACUACGUGAUCGUCUUCACUGCAUCGACGCAUAUCUACAUCUUCCGCACCAGUAGUGCAUCGAGUGGUAAUCCCGUGAUCCUUAUACGGCAGUUCUUCCUGGUUAUACGCGGUAGAAAUUUUUUGAAUUGCGCUAGUGUAGCCUACCUCGUAUCCCAACAACAAUCAGAUACUUAUGGCCAAAGAAGACAUACCCAAAACGGCCUUCAGAUGCCCAGGUCACCUUGGUUUAUUCGAGUGGGUGGUAAUGACUUUCGGUUUAAAAAACGCUGGCGCUACGUAUCAGAGAGCCAUGAACUACAUAUUCCACAAACUCAUCGGCAUACUGGUAGAAAUCUACAUCAACGACGUCGUAGAUAAGUCAAAAAGACACGAGGAGCAUCUGGCCGAUUUGCGAAAAGUGUUGGAAUGCACUAAGAAACAUGGGCUGAAGAUGAACCCGAAUAAGUGUGCCUUCGGCGUAUCCGCCGAACAAUUCUUAGGAUUCAUGGUACACGAGCGAGGAAUAGAAAUCAAUCAGAAGACUAUAGCGGCCAUCAACAAAGUCGUGGCCCCGUAGAAUAAAACUGAGUUGCAAUCUCUAAUCGGCAAGGUGAAUUUCAUCAGAAGAUUCAUAUCUAAUCUGUCGGGGCGAAUCCAAGCUUUCACACCACUAUUAAAGUUGAAACCCGACCAAGAGUUCAUAUGGGGGGAAGAGCAACGCAAGGCACUGGAAGAUAUCAAGCAGUACUUGGUCUCACCGCCGGUAUUGGUCCCUCCUCAAACUGGUAAGCCAUUUAAACUAUAUUUAUCAGCCGAUGAAAAAGCUAUUGGGUUGGCUCUGGUCCAGGAGUUCGAGGGAAAGGAACGAGUAAUUUAUUAUGUCAGUAGAAGACUUCUGGACGCCGAAACGAGGUACCCUCCAGUGGAGCAUUUGUGCCUAUGCCUUUACUUCUCAUGUACCAAACUCAGGCACUAUUUGCUAUCAGCGGAAUGUGUGGUCGUGUGCAAAGACGACGUGGUAAAAUACAUGCUGUCACUGCCGAUUUUGAAAGGACAAAUCGGCAAAUGGAUCUUAGCUUUGUCAGAGUUUGACCUUCGUUAUGAAUUGGCGAAAGCCGUCAAGGGUCAGGUCAUGGCCGAUUUCGUCGCCCAACACUGCGGACCAGAGGUUACCUUCGUGGAACCGGUACCUUGGACUUUAUACUUUGAUGGAUCGUCAUGUGGGGUCAGAUCAGGAAUCGGCAUCGUCCUCAUAUCACCUCGGGGGGCAAGCUAUGAUUUUUCUCUGCCGAUAGAAGCAACCGCCACUAACAAUCAAGCAGAGUACGGAGCUGUACUGAAGGGAUUACAAUUACUAAGAGAAGUCCAGGCCGAUUCUCUCAAAAUUUUUGGAGAUUCCAUGCUUAUUGUGGAUCAAUUAACAGGGAAGUCCGAAUGCAAGGACGAUGUGCUGAGGAUUUAUUACGAAGAUUGCUUGCAGCUUUUGAAAGAGUUCAAAUCGGCAGUUAUUGAACACAUCCCAAGGAAUCACAACGAGGAUGCCAACAAGCUCGCCCAACACGCAUCUGGGUAUCGGCCGAUUCAAGGCGCUAUGGCUCUAGAGCUCGCGGCCGAUGACUGGCGAAAAGAAAUUGCCGAUUACCUAAAAGAUCCAUCCAAGAAAGUGGAUCGGCGGGUGCGUUUCCAUGCUACCAAAUAUGUACUACUGGAAAACGACUUGUUCUACCGAACAAUUGACGGCGUCCUACUCAAGUGUCUGGGAACGGAGGAGGCUAAGACUCUGAUGGUAGAAAUCCAUGAAGGAGUGUGUGGAGCCCACCAGUCGGCUCACAAGAUGAAAUGGAUGAUCAAGAAUAAUGGGUAUUACUGGCCAACGAUCCUCGAAGAUUGCUUCAAAUAUUAUAAGGGAUGCCAGGAUUGUCAGAAAUUCGGGAAUGUCCAACGUGCGCCCGCGUCGGCCAUGAAUCCCAUUAUCAAACCAUGGCCGUUCAGAGGAUGGGGAAUAGACCUCAUCGGCCAAAUUUAUCCUCCAUCAAGCAAAGGGCAUAAAUUCAUUCUGGUGGCCACCGAUUAUUUCACCAAAUGGGUGGAGGCAAUUCCGUUAAGAGCCGUAACAUCGGCUACCAUGGUCGACUUCAUAAGGGACCAUAUCGUCUACCGAUUCGGCAUUCCCCAGACUAUCACAACCGAUCAAGGGACAAUGUUCACAUCAGGAGAAUUCGAGGAGUUCACGGCCGAUAUGGGAAUAAAAUUGUUAAACUCCUCUCCAUAUUAUGCCAAAGCUAACGGCCAGGCUGAAUCCUCCAACAAAGGGAUAAUAAAGUUAAUCAAGAGGAAGAUAGAGGAGCAGCCGAAAAAGUGGCAUCUAUGUUUGACUGAAGCCCUAUGGGCAUACAGGAUGGCUUGCCAUGGGUCCACCAAGUUGUCCCCUUAUCAGUUGGUGUACGGUCACAAUGCAGUACUACCAUGGGAAGUGAGGGCGGGGUCGAGACGCACUUCGCUCCAGGACCAGUUGACGGCCGACGACUACUCCUCACUCAUGAAAAGGGAGCUUGAUGACUUGGCUGGCCAACGAUUGAGAGUUUUGAUAAGCAUCGAGGAAAACAAGAAGAAAGUGGCCAGGUGGUAUGAUAAGAAGGUCAAAGUCAAACAAUUCUCUCCAGGGGACCUGGUUUGGAAGUUAGUGUUGCCGAUCGGGUCGAAAGAUCCCAAAUUCGGGAAGUGGUCCCCUACAUGGGAAGGGCCGUAUAAAAUCGGCAGAUGUGCUCCAGGAAACGCUUAUAUUCUGGAAACAAUCGAAGGAGAAGAGUUUACUAGGGCUCUGAAUGGAAGGUACUUAAAAAGGUACUACCCUAGUAUAUGGGUCGGAGCAUAAAGGAUCGACCACGAUAAACAGCACACAGCCGAUAUAAAAAGGUUCGCCUAGAGAAAACAUGUAAUCGUCCAAAUCGGCCGACAAAGUACAAGUCGGAUAAGUGCACCCAAGUCGGAUAAGUGCAUUUUCAUGGGAUAUCCAAAGGAAACUUUGGGAUAUUAUUUCUACAACCGAUCAGAAGGCAAAGUGUUUGUCGCUCGGAACGGGGUUUUCGUAGAGAAAGAGUUUCUCAAAGGAGAAAAGAGUGGAAAGACAGUGCAUCUUGAAGAAGUUCAAGAUGAGCCGAUCGGGCAAGAAUCAAUGAGUGAUGCUAACGUAGCAGAACAAGUUGAGAUACCCAUGGCAAGAGAAGCACCGCCACAACCACGAAGGUCAGCAAGGCUCCACGAAAUGCGGGAAAUAUUAUUGUUGGACAAUGAUGAGCCUGCGACAUAUGCAGAAGCAAUGAUGGACCCAGACUCCGAAAAAUGGCAGAGUGCCAUGCAAUCCGAAAUAGAGUCCAUGGGAGACAAUCAAGUUUGGAACUUGGUUGACCCGCCUGAUGGUGUUAAAGCCAUAGAGUGCAAGUGGAUCUAUAAGAAGAAAAAGGACAUGGAUGGAAAUGUUCACAUCUAUAAAGCACGACUUGUCGCAAAAGGUUUUCGACAAGUUCAAGGAGUUGACUACGACGAGACCUUCUCGCCCGUAGUGAUGCUUAAGUCCAUUCGGAUUAUUCUAGCUAUAGCUGCAUAUUUCGAUUAUGAGAUAUGGCAGAUGGAUGUCAAGACAGCUUUCCUGAAUGGAAACCUAUCUGAGGACGUGUAUAUGAUACAGCCCGAGGGUUUUGUCGAUCCGAAAAAUGCUGGAAAGGUAUGCAAGCUUCAGAGAUCCAUUUAUGGAUUGAAGCAAGCAUCUAGGAGUUGGAACAUUCGUUUUGAUGAAGUGGUCAAAGGGUUUGACUUCACCAAGAACGAAGAAGAGUCUUGUGUUUACAAGAAGGUUAGUGGGAGCUCUGUAGUAUUUCUAAUCUUAUAUGUGGAUGACAUAUUACUGAUUGGAAAUAACAUUCCUAUGCUUGAGUUCGUAAAGACUUUACUGAAAAAUAGUUUUUCGAUGAAGGACUUAGGGGAAGCGGCAUAUAUUCUGGGCAUUAAGAUCUAUAGAGAUAGAUCGAGAAGGCUUAUAGGUUUAAGCCAAGAUACUUACAUUGACAAAGUGUUGAAGCGGUUCAGCAUGGAAGAGGCAAAGAAGGGGUUCUUGCCUAUGUCACAUGGCAUACAUCUCAGCAAGACUCAGUGUCCUUCGACUGCUGAUGAGCGGGAUCGCAUGAGUAGAGUGCCAUAUGCCUCGGCUAUUGGAUCUAUCAUGUAUGCAAUGAUAAGUACUCGCCCAGAUGUUUCAUAUGCGCUAAGUAUGACAAGCAGACACCAGUCUGAUCCAGGUGAGAGUCACUGGACAGCGGUGAAAAACAUUCUUAAGUACUUGAGAAGGACUAAAGAUAUGUUCCUCGUCUAUGGAGGUGAGGAGGAGCUCGUUGUAACAGGUUACACCGAUGCUAGUUUCCAAACCGAUAGAGAUAAUUCAAAGUCACAAUCAGGAUUUGUGUUCACACUGAAUGGUGGUGCUAUUAGUUGGAAGAGUUCCAAGCAGGAGACGGUGGCCGAUUCUACGACAGAAGCCGAGUACAUCGCGGCUUUGGAAGCCGCGAAGGAAGGUGUUUGGAUAAGGAAUUUCCUCAUUGAGCUUGGUGUGUUCCCGAAUGCGUCCAGCCCAUUGAAUCUCUACUGUGAUAAUAAUGGGGCAAUUGCGCAAGCAAAGGAGCCAAGGAACCACCAGAAGAACAAACACGUAAUGCGGCGAUUUCAUCUCAUUCGAGACUUCGUUAACCGGGGUGAGAUCAAGAUAUGCAAAAUACACACGGAUCUGAACAUUUCUGAUCCGUUGACAAAACCACUCCCGCAGGCUAAGCAUGAUGCGCAUGUAAGAGCUAUGGGUAUUAGGUACCUUCUAGAUUGACUCUAGUGCAAGUGGGAGACUGUUGGAGGUAUGCCCUAGAGGCAAUCAUAGAGAUGAUGAUAUUCCAUUUGUAUCCAUGAUUUGUAUAUUGUGUUCAUUGAAUAUCCAUUAAAGGCUACUUGAAUUGAUUUGCAAUUAUGUGAAUUGUAUGUGAAACUCUUUACUUGUAUGGUUAUUCUAAAGUUGUCCCUAGUCGGAGUUCAUGUGAGGACACACAUGAAUAUUAGACUAGCACAUGUAUUGGUUGAUGACUAUGUUUCACAAGUCAUGGACAUGGAGAUGUUGAACUAAUAAUGUGGACACAUGUGGAGACAUGUGCUGGGACUGACCCAACACGAGAAAUAGUUCUCUCUUUAAACAACAUAUACGCUUUGUCCUUAGACCUGAGAUUGUCGCAUGUAUUCUAGAUGUGGAUCGACCUACUUAGGGGCUAUCAAACGCUACGCGGUAACAGGGUAGUUAUAA